UACGUAGGGUGCGAGCGUGUCCGGAAUUAUUGGGCGUAAAGAGCUCGUAGGUGGCGGGUCACGUCGGGUGUGAAAGCCCGGGGCUUAACUCCGGGUCUGCAUUCGAUACGGGUCUGCUGGGGUCCGGCAGGGGAGACUGGAAUUCCUGGUGUAGCGGUGAAAUGCGCAGAUAUCAGGAGGAACACCGGUGGCGAAGGCGGGUCUCUGGGCCGGUACCGACGCUGAGGAGCGAAAGCGUGGGGAGCGAACAGG
rnacentral:rRNA from 1 species